AAAUUGAAGAGUUUGAUCAUGGCUCAGAUUGAACGCUGGCGGCAGGCCUAACACAUGCAAGUCGAACGGUAACAGAAAGCAGCUUGCUGCUUUGCUGACGAGUGGCGGACGGGUGAGUAAUGUCUGGGAAACUGCCUGAUGGAGGGGGAUAACUACUGGAAACGGUAGCUAAUACCGCAUAAUGUCGCAAGACCAAAGAGGGGGACCUUCGGGCCUCUUGCCAUCGGAU
rnacentral:rRNA from 1 species